rnacentral:rRNA from 1 species
UACAGAGGUCUCAAGCGUUGUUCGGAUUCAUUGGGCGUAAAGGGCUCGUAGGCGGCCAACUAAGUCAGACGUGAAAUCCCUCGGCUUAACCGGGGAACUGCGUCUGAUACUGGAUGGCUUGAGGUUGGGAGAGGGAUGCGGAAUUCCAGGUGUAGCGGUGAAAUGCGUAGAUAUCGUAAGGAAGACCAGUGGCGAAGGCGGGUCUCUGGACAGUUCCUGACGCUGAGGCACGAAGGUCAGGGGAGCAAACGGG